AAACCAACAGGGAUUGCCCCAGUAGCGGCGAGUGAAGCGGCAAGAGCUCAGAUUUGAAAUCGUGCUAAUUUUUUUGGCACGAGUUGUAGAGUGUAGGCGGGAGUCUUUGUGGAGCACGGUGUCCAAGUCCCUUGGAACAGGGCGCCUGAGAGGGUGAGAGCCCCGUGGGGUGCCGUGCGAAGCUUUGAGGCCCUGCUGACGAGUCGAGUUGUUUGGGAAUGCAGCUCCAAGUGGGUGGUAAAUUCCAUCUAAGGCUAAAUACUGGCGAGAGACCGAUAGCGAACAAGUACUGUGAAGGAAAGAUGAAAAGCACUUUGAAAAGAGAGUGAAACAGCACGUGAAAUUGUUGAAAGGGAAGGGUAUUGGGCCCGACAUGGGGAGUGCGCACCGCUGUCUCUUGUAGGCGGCGCUCUGGGCGCUCUCUGGGCCAGCAUCGGUUCUUGCUGCGGGAGAAUGGGUGCCGGAAAGUGGCUCUUCGGAGUGUUAUAGCCGGCGCCAGAUACCGCGUGCGGGGACCGAGGACUGCGGCUUCUGUCUCGGA
rnacentral:rRNA from 1 species